UGAAGUCGUUUAUUAUGUGUGUCGUAGCGGGUUUUCUUUGAUAUCAGCGUCGUCUGGUACAGAAACAUGCCGCUGUGGACAUGCUGUAAAUCUAUAUUUGUGUUAAACGAGUGAGUGUCAAUUUCAAGUGCGAAUUUUGUUUUCUGGAGCUGUCGCAUAUAUAUGCAAGUACUGUGCGAAACUCGGCGCUGAAGGGGGUGACAUGAGACGUCUGUAGUUCACAAUAGUAAUGUUCCCGUGUUGUCGGAAACCAUUGGGUAUUUGUCAGGAACACGAGGUGUGGAAGUAGGACAAUGUGCAUUUUCGUCCUGGAAAAAAGAUAAAGUAGGAAUACUUCCAUGGUCAGCUAACAACUGUGGUGGAAGAAGGAUCCUAAGAAAGUAAAAGCAGCAGAGCAGCAUCUGGAAAAUCAAGUCUCCGCACCACUGAUUGGUGAAAGCACUGUCCAGUCUCUUCACGUCUUUUUUUUGCCAGAGGUGGGACGCCAU
rnacentral:lncRNA from 1 species